AAUCCAUGCAUCAAAAAUUUUCGAAUUAAUUCUUUAAAUCGUUCCCAAGCUUCAUAUAGUAUUUCAUCCUCCAAUUAUUGAAAAGACGUGAUGUCAUUUCUCAGCUU
rfam:Gossypium hirsutum cultivar TM-1 chromosome 21, whole genome shotgun sequence